UAUAUCACGUGUACUUUUAGCGCGCAUUUGAUAUUGACAGUAUCCACGAGAAAGUCGUUUGCUUGUUCUGAAUGUGCACGUAAAACCCUAUGACCUGACCUGAGAAAGUCGUGCUCACAUUUGCAAUGCGUCUUUGAAGUGUUCGGCUAAGUGGCCACUGCUCACACAUUAUUGUGCUCUUAAAAACCUUACAAGGAUUCAAGCUGCACAAUUUAACAUAAGUCCCAGAACAGCAGAGUUGUACGAGCAUUCCAAGACAGGAUGAAAAUAAAGCCAAUACCAAUGAGCCAUGUUGUGGUGGAAAGACCCACAGCAGAAGUCAGAAAACGAAAGCCUGUAUUGUGUCAGUUGGACACACAGAAGAAGAAAGAAGAGCAAUGACAAGAAUAACCCUGACUACAUUCCCUCUGUGAACUUGGGCUACAAGGACACUAAACCAAGUGGGGAUCUGUGACAUGCUAGACACUGUUGAUUAGAGGGCAGAGAAUCCGAAAAAGGCAAGAAACAAGCAGCUUAUGCAUUACUGGAUUUGUCAAACACAGAAAAUAUAUUUGAGACACAAGCUGAAGAAUUGCAGCCACAUGUCGACAUACACAGUGGCUGUAUUAAAAAAAUUGCUGCCCUGCGAAUAGAAAACCAGCAGCUAUAUGAAGAGAAUGCGAUUUUAAAACAGAAUGAAAGUUGAGGAGCAGGUGACAUCCAGUGAUCAAAGAAUUGUUUUAUACAGGUCUACAGUCAAAAGCUCUAUUUGUAUGGCUGCUGUCAUUUUGCUUAUUUUGCUUCCCGGCACUUCCAGCGUGCAAAGUUCUAAGCCCAACAUGUGUAAUGAUGUGUAUAAUAAUGAAACUUAGGUUGAAUCUCCAGCACCAGGACUUGGCGUAUAGGUUCAGUGUGUCUGUGACCACAAUAUCCGACAUUCUUAACCAGGGAUUGCCAAAAUUAGCAGAAAAACUUUCAUUUCUGAUUCAGUGGCCUGAUAAAGACAGUCUUGAUAAGAAACAUGCCUAAUGUUAUUAAAAUAACCUACCCAAAAUGUGUGAGCAUCAUUGAUUGUUUUGAAGUUUUUAUUCAGAGACCCGGUCAACUUACAGCUAGGGCUCAAACAUGGUCAAAUUAUAAACAUAACAACACCAUUAAAUUUCUUGUGUCUAUAACGGGGGCAAUUUCUUAUGUAUCACAGGCUUUUGUGGGUAGGACAUCGGAUAAAGUUAUUACUCAGAGAAGUGGUUAUUUGGAUAAAUUGUAAUAUGGGGAUCAAGUUUUAGCAGACAGAGGAUUUCUGAUAGCAGAAGAUUUAGCAAACCGUAAUGCAACACUAGUAAUACCAGCCUUCACUAGGGGAAAGUCACAACUUAGUGCCAGAGAGGUUGAGCAGACCAGAAAAAUAGCAAAUGUGCGGAUACAUGUGGAACGAGCCAUUGAAAGACUGAAAAACUAAUAUUUUGAGUAGCAGCAUUAGUUUACACAUGGUUCCACAUGCAGACAGCAUAGUCACAAUCUGUUCAGCAUUAUGUAAUUUACAACCAUAACCUUUUCUUAGGUUUUUACCUGUAUUAUGCUUUCAAAUGGUACACAUUGUAAUUCUUCUUUUUAGUUGCAUGAAAUGGGACUAAAUAAAUGUAACUUAAACAGAAAAAGAAUAUAUUGCAUUUUUUAAAAUAUAAAUUAAAUAAAUAGUUUGGCAUAUUUCAUUUGCUAUUGUUAUGAUUUAGUCACAGCUGGCACAAAACCAUUUUCCCCUGGGCUUUCUGUGAAUGUUCACACACUUGUAGUGGAACCACUGGUAGGGACAGUCGUCAUUGUCACAUUUAAUCAUCCUACCAUAUUCCAGUUCGGAACAGAUACACCAUGUCUGAUCACCAUUGUCAACUUGCUUAAUGCUUGAUGUAGAUACAGUCUGGUUUUCAAGUUCGCAAGUAACCAAUUCAUUUAUUAUGAAAUUCUUUACAAAUUGCUCACAUUUUGUAAUCAUGCUUUGACAGAAGUCUACAUCAAUGGAUAAUCUUACGAUGACCAUACUUGGAGCCGGUUUACACUUAAGGAAAAC
rnacentral:lncRNA from 1 species